GUCAGGAUGGCCGAGCGGUCUAAGGCGCCAGACUCAGGUUCUGGUCCACGAAUGUGGGCGUGGGUUCAAAUCCCACUCCUGACA
rnacentral:tRNA from 1 species